CCAAGGAGUGCAGCGUGUGCGCGAGUCAUUGGGUGGAAAACCUAAAGGCGCAAUGAAAGUGUCAGGGGGCGCUCCGCGUCCCCGGCGGGAGGAUGGGCGCCCGGCCCCCCGGCCGGAGCCCCGCACUCCCGGGGCGUCUCAUUCUCGUUUACGAGUCGAGACGCACCAGGAGCGCACACGCUACUACCCGAAAGAUGGUGAACUAUGCCUGGCCAGGACGAAGCCAGGGGAAACCCUGGUGGAGGUCCGAAGCGAUUCUGACGUGCAAAUCGAUCGUCUGAGCUGGGGAUAGGGGUGAAAGGCCAAUCGAACCAUCUAGUAGCUGGUUCCCUCUGAAGUUUCCCUCAGGAUAGCUGGCUCUCAGGAAGUGACGAGUCUCAUCCGGUAGAGCGAAUGAUUAGAGGCUAUGGGGUCGAAACGACUUCAUCCUAUUCUCAAACUCCCAAUAGAUGAGAGCCCCGGCUUGCUUGAAAGUGAAGCCGCGGGACUUUGGAUCGGAGAGGCCAAGUGGGCCAAUUUU
rnacentral:rRNA from 1 species